rnacentral:rRNA from 3 species
GGGUUGUGAGGUUAAGCGACUAAGCGUACACGGUGGAUGCCCUGGCAGUCAGAGGCGAUGAAGGGCGUGCUAAUCUGCGAUAAGCGCCGGUAAGGUGAUAUGAACCGUUAUAACCGGCGAUACCCGAAUGGG